ensembl:lncRNA
GCACAUUGAGAGAGAUUCUGGUGGGAAGAUAACCAGGAAGGUCACGCUGAAAGGCAGCCACAGCUUCCUCCCUAGCGGUGGGGCCACAUUCUUCCUGCUCUUGUGCCAGGGAACAGUCUGUCUUGUUAUCAAUAAUUGUUAGCCUUGUCCAACUCUGAGGCCAGACUUUCACCGAGGCCCUUGGGACCUUCCCCAGCUAAAGGGUUCCACGAGCCUCUGCUGUCUCCAGUAACCAGCAGACUAAGGAGGGGCCAGAGAGACUUGUGGCUGAACCCCAAAGACAUGUUCCUCGUCGUAGUUCCAGGCAGAAGGAGCCAAGACUUGAUCUGCGCUGGCAAAGUUAUUUUUUAAACUGGAAUUGCUGGUAAGGCUGCUUCCCUAAAAGGCAGCCCCAGUCCUGGCUCCUGCUGCCCUUCCUGGAGCCGUGGCUCUCUGCCAUCGCGUGCUGUCAUGGUUUCUCCAGACUCCCCUUCCGGUCCACUCCCCCGUCUCAGUCCCUUACCUCCCAACUCGGCUACCCGCAGCCCCUCCAGAAGAAAACGGAAUGUUUGGGAGGUUUCCCCAGUGAUGCUCAGCUACACACGGUACAGCCCACAACCCACAUCUCCAGACCCCAGGCUGGUACAGGGUUUCCUGGACUCACUUCCCAAAAGGCCGCCUCAGUACCUGCCACCCUGCGGUCCAGCCUUAUCUCGGCUCCUUGUCACUGCUCUGUCUGAUCUGUUAAGUCAGACCAAUGUGGCUGCCCUGCGCGUGUCCUCUUAGUGUUUGUGGCCCAUUCAAAGUACAGAUGUUUGUCACAGCCUACAAGAAAGACAGGUUCACGGGGACCCAGGUCUCAUUUGCCCAGAUUUGUGAACUGGAAGGAGAGAGGCCCGUGAGGGUUCCGUAGGUCUGCAUGUGGGGUCCCACCUGUGCAGCCAUACCUGGCCACCGGCCUCACUCGAGACACCGCCUCCCUCGCGUUCUCUGUCGGCACCCUUGAGGUGACGGCCCAAGACAAGGGGUGGCAGUGAAAAAGAAGAGUGGAUUUAAAAACCCUAGAAAACAUGAAGCAAUGAAAUGCCUGGAAUAUGAAGGAGGAUAGGAAGGGGUUCCAUUAAAGGCGUAAUAAGAUGGACCCGGUUGGAAGGUUGAGAAGGCAGACUGAUUCUCUUCUUGGGGCUGUUGUGGCUGGUGACUUGAAGCCAAUGCUCAUUUACAAUCCAAAAAUCCUAGGGCCCCUAAGAGCACAUACUCUGCCUGUGCUCUACAAAUGGAACAACUAAGCCUGGCUGACAGCACUUCUGUUUACUGCAUGGUUCAACUAAUAUUUUAAAUCCUCUGCGGAGACCUACUGCUCAGAAAAAGAGAUUCCUUCCAAAAAUAUUACUGCUCAGUGACAAGGAACCUGGUCACCAGGAGCUCUGAUGGAGAUAGAUGUACAAUGAGAUGAAUGCUGUUUUCCUGCCUGCUAACACAAUAUCCAUCCUACAGCCCAUGGAUCAAGGUGUAAUCUUGACUUUCAAGUCUCAUUAUUUAAGAAAUACAUUUCAGGACUUUCCUGUAGUCCAGUGGCUAAGACUCCACACUCCCAAUGCAGGGACAGGGAACUAGGUCCCACAUGCCUCAACUAAAAGAUCCUGCAUGCCACAAUGAAAAUCGAAGACCCUGCAUGCCAUAACUAAGAUCUGGAGCAGCCAAAUACAUAUAAAUAAAUACUUAAAAAAGAAAACCCAAAACCUUCCCCCCCAAAAUCAUAGAGAAGUUCGGUGUUUUUGAACAUAAGCCAUCUGUUCUCCAUGUUGGGC